GUCCAUAGCUCAAUGGUAGAGCUUCUGCUUCGUAGGCAGAAGGUCUCAGGUUCAAUCCCCAGCAUCUCCC